rnacentral:snRNA from 14 species
GGCCCUGGGCAGUGGCAGUAUUGUAGCCAAUGAGGUUUAUCCGAGGCGCGAUUAGUGCUAAUUGAAAUUUUUUCUCAUGGGCUGCAGCAAGAUCUUGUUUCAGAUGCUCUAUCUCUGCUGUGUACUCCUUAAUAAAAGCUUUCUUGGUGAGUUUCUGAUUAACUUCAGGUU